rnacentral:rRNA from 1 species
GCAUGGUUGUCGUCAGCUCGUGUCGUGAGAUGUUGGGUUAAGUCCCGCAACGAGCGCAACCCUUAUUGUUAGUUGCCAUCAUUUAGUUGGGCACUCUAGCGAGACUGCCGGUGACAAACCGGAGGAAGGUGGGGAUGACGUCAAAUCAUCAUGCCCCUUAUGACCUGGGCUACACACGUGCUACAAUGGGAAGUACAACGAGUUGCGAAGUCGCGAGGCUAAGCUAAUCUCUUAAAGCUUCUCUCAGUUCGGAUUGUAGGCUGCAACUCGCCUACAUGAAGCCGGAAUCGCUAGUAAUCGCGGAUCAGCACGCCGCGGUGAAUACGUUCCCGGGCCUUGUACACACCGCCCGUCACACCACGAGAGUUUGUAACACCCGAAGUCGGUGAGGUAACCUUUUUGGAGCCAGCCGCCUAAGGUGGGAUAGAUGAUUGGGGUGAAGUCGUAACAAGGUAGCCGUAUCGGAAGGUGCGGCUGGAUCACCUCCUUUCUAAGGAA